CAUCUACUCCCUCAGUUCUGAAUUACUUGUCGCAGGUAUGGAUGUAUCUAGAUGUAUUUUAGUUUUAGAUACAUCCAUUUCUGCGAUGAGUAAUUUGGAACGGAGGGAGUAGCUA
rfam:Triticum aestivum genome assembly, contig: Triticum_aestivum_CS42_TGACv1_scaffold_000484_1AL